CUUUCCCUCUGGCGGCAUGCCUUACACAUGCAAGUCGAACGGCAGCACGGGUGCUUGCACCUGGUGGCGAGUGGCGAACGGGUGAGUAAUACAUCGGAACAUGUCCUGUAGUGGGGGAUAGCCCGGCGAAAGCCGGAUUAAUACCGCAUACGAUCUACGGAUGAAAGCGGGGGACCUUCGGGCCUCGCGCUAUAGGGUUGGCCGAUGGCUGAUUAGCUAGUUGGUGGGGUAAAGGCCUACCAAGGCGACGAUCAGUAGCUGGUCUGAGAGGACGACCAGCCACACUGGGACUGAGACACGGCCCAGACUCCUACGGGAGGCAGCAGUGGGGAAUUUUGGACAAAGGGCGAAAGCCUGAUCCAGCAAUGCCGCGUGUGUGAAGAAGGCCUUCGGGUUGUAAAGCACUUUUGUCCGGAAAGAAAUCCUUGGCCCUAAUACGGUCGGGGGAUGACGGUACCGGAAGAAUAAGCACCGGCUAACUACGUG
rnacentral:rRNA from 1 species